rnacentral:rRNA from 1 species
ACUGGGGCGGUUGCCUCCUAAAAGGUAACGGAGGCGUGCAAAGGUUCCCUCAGGCUGGACGGAAAUCAGUCGUAGAGUAUAAAGGCAGAAGGGAGCUUGACUGCGAGACUGACACGUCAAGCAGGGGCGAAAGCCGGCCUUAGUGAUCCGACGGUUCCGUGUGGAAGGGCCGUCGCUCAACGGAUAAAAGUUACUCUAGGGAUAACAGGCUGAUCUCCCCCAAGAGUCCACAUCGACGGGGAGGUUUGGCACCUCGAUGUCGGCUCAUCGCAUCCCGGGGCUGGAG